rnacentral:rRNA from 1 species
AAAUUGAAGAGUUUGAUCAUGGCUCAGAUUGAACGCUGGCGGCAGGCCUAACACAUGCAAGUCGAGCGGUAACACAGAGGAGCUUGCUCCUUGGGUGACGAGCGGCGGACGGGUGAGUAAUGCCUGGGGAUCUGCCCGAUAGAGGGGGAUAACUACGGGAAACUGUAGCUAAUACCGCAUAAUGUCUACGGACCAAAGUGGGGGCUCUUCGGACCUCAUGCUAUCGGAUGAACCCAGGUGGGAUUAGCUAGUUGGUGAGGUAAUGGCUCACCAAGGCGACGAUCUCUAACUGGUUUGAGAGAAUGACCAG